UACAGAGGGUGCAAGCGUUAAUCGGAAUUACUGGGCGUAAAGCGAGCGUAGUCGGUUAUUUAAGUCGGAUGUGAAAUCCCCGGGCUCAACCUGGGAAUUGCAUUCGAUACUGGAUAGCUAGAGUUCGGCAGAGGGAAGCGGAAUUUCGGGUGUAGCGGUGAAAUGCGUAGAUAUCCGAAGGAACAUCAGUGGCGAAAGCGGCUUCCUGGACCAGAACUGACGAUCAGGCUCGAAAGCGUGGGGAGCAACAGG
rnacentral:rRNA from 1 species